AUGAAUGCCAUCUCUGCCGGGGCGUACAGGCGUAUAUAUGGAUUUUUAUACACUGUCACGGAGCGAGCCUCCCGUCGUGGCGGCAGCAAGGUGAGGCGACAAUGCUCUGCACUGUGCAUGGACCGACUCAUCAAGGAAGAAAUCUUUUUCGAAAAGAACAAGAGAAAAAUAUCAGUCGCCAUGGAAUGGAAGGGUGCAGUGGCAGGUUUUCCUCACCGCCGUAGGGCAAUGGCGCCAGCCAAUCUACCUAUACCUAUCUACAGUAGUACAUCUAGUGGUGCUCCUAUGUGGCUGGCUAGCUAG
rnacentral:rRNA from 1 species